CAGAAUUGAUUCUGGACGUGUAGAAUUGAUUCUGACUUGUUUGGUUUCUCAAAAGUAGAAUUGAUUCUGCCUCCAUAAUUGAUUCUACUUGAAGCUAGAAAUCGUAGCUUCUGAUUCUAGAAUUGAUUUUUACACUCAAAUUUUUUGUUCAACUCACUUUUUCAUGAAUAUAUCCAAACAUAAACCACUUCAGCUUAAAAUCCAUUUUGGCCAGAAUCAAUUUUAUAGAAUCAAU
rnacentral:lncRNA from 1 species